GAUGAACGCUGGCGGCGUGCUUAAUACAUGCAAGUCGAGCGGCAGCAUGACCUUUUAGGUUGAUGGCGAGCGGCGGACGGCUGAGUAACGCGUAGGAAUAUACCCCAAAGUGAGGGAUAACUGCCCGAAAGGGUGGCUAAUACCGCAUGUGGUCUUUAUGAUUAAAGGAUUUAUCCGCUUUGGGAAUAGCCUGCGUUCGAUUAGCUUGUUGGUGAGGUAAUGGCUCACCAAGGCGACGAUCGAUAGCUGGUCUGAGAGGAUGAUCAGCCAGACUGGAACUGAGACACGGUCCAGACUCCUACGGGAGGCAGCAGUAGGGAAUUUUCCACAAUGGGCGAAAGCCUGAUGGAGCAACGCCGCGUGCAGGAUGAAGGCCUUCGGGUUGUAAACUGCUUUUAUGUGCGAAGAAUAUGACGGUAACACAUGAAUAAGGGUCGGCUAACUACGUGCCAGCAGCCGCCGUAA
rnacentral:rRNA from 1 species